ensembl:snRNA U6 U6 spliceosomal RNA
AUACUCCCCUCAGCGAUACAUAUAUUAAAAUUGGAAUACAGAGGAAAUUAGCAUGGUCCUUGCACAAGGAUGACACACAAAUUUGUCAAGUGUUCUAUAUUUUC